GCUGAAUCCUUAUUAUAGUUAUGCUGAUACUAACAUAUUUGAUGAUGGCACAAUAACUGAAGGGUUCAUCAGUUGUGUGGAGACCUUUUAUCUUGGUGAUGAUUCCAAGCAAGAUCAAGCUGUAAAUGUGGAAUUGAGAAAAUUCCAGAAUAGAGAAGGAUCAUUUGCAAAAAAAGCUCGCGAGAACGUGUCAAAACUUUGAAUAUAAUGCAUCAUCUUGGUGGAAACUCUACGGAAAUGAAGUGCCAACUCUACAGAGGAUGGCUAUGAGAAUCUUGUCAUUGACCUCAGGUGCUUCAGCUUGUGAAAGGAAUUGGAGUACCUUCGAAAAUAUUCAUACAAAGAAAAGAAAUAGGCUGACUACAGAACGCCUAAAUGAUCUAUCUUUCAUACAAUUUAAUUCAAGAAUGAUGGCCAAGAAACAGAUGAUCAAGGAAAAGAAGAUUGUCGAUGUC